CACGGAUCCCUAGUACGGCGAGUGAGCGGGAAGAGCUCAAAUUUGAAAUCUGGUAGCCUUCGGUUGCCCGAGUUGUAAUCUAGAGAAGUGUUUUCCGUGCCGGCCCAUGUACAAGUCCCUUGGAACAGGGCGUCAUAGAGGGUGAGAAUCCCGUCCUUGACAUGGACCCCCGGUGCUUUGUGAUACACUUUCAACGAGUCGAGUUGUUUGGGAAUGCAGCUCAAAAUGGGUGGUGAAUUCCAUCUAAAGCUAAAUAUUGGCGAGAGACCGAUAGCGAACAAGUACCGUGAGGGAAAGAUGAAAAGCACUUUGGAAAGAGAGUUAAACAGUACGUGAAAUUGUUGAAAGGGAAACGAUUGAAGUCAGUCAUGCUCUUGGGACUUACCUCCCUUGAGUGGGGUCAACAUCAGUUUUGAUCGAUGGAUAAAGGCACGGGGAAGGUAGCACUCUCGGGUGAACUUAUAGCCUCGCGUCAUAUACAUUGAUUGGGACUGAGGAACGCAGCAUGCCUUAUGGCCGGGAUUCGUCCACGUACAUGCUUAGGAUGUUGACAUAAUGGCUUUAAACGACCCGUCUUAA
rnacentral:rRNA from 1 species